rnacentral:lncRNA from 1 species
UAGUUUUCGAUAAUAGAGCUUUCGAAUCGACUAUCCAUACUGUUAAAUAUUAUAUAGAGUAUUUAAAACAUCUAAAAAUAAAAUUUCAUAAUUUUUUGAAAUCAUUUAUCUUACGAUCAAACUAUUUUAAAAUUGACAAUUUUUAAUUGCCAGUAUGGGAUACUUGCUAGUUAAUUUAACGGUGUAAAAGAAUAAGAAUCGGUUAAAUUUUUGAUAGAAACUUUUGUUCAUUAUCUAGAUAAAAAUCAACAAUUCCGAUGUUAAAUUAAGAGAUCCGAUCAUCCAAUUUUAGGACGUCAUUCCAUUUUGACCUGUAGUGUUCCUGAGCUUUGGAUAGGAUUGGCUUCAGUAUUAGUGACUGGUCGACAUCUCUGGAGAGUGUCGGACUGAACCNAAUAUUUAAAUCUAUUAGAGAUAAAUUAAGAUUUAAAUAUUAAUUAGAGUAUAAAUUUAACUAGAUUAGGAUAAAUAUUUAAAUCUAUUGUAGAUAAAUAAAAUAUAGAUUUAAAUAUUAUUUAGAGUAGGAAUCCUAAUUGGACUAGGAUUCACGUACAUUUUAGAUGAUGCAUUAUAAAAGCACUCUUUGGGAUGCUUUUGGUGGAGAGAGUACAGUGAGAGAGAGUGCCUUCUUACGUGAAACCGUACUAGGAGAGAGAAAGUCAUGGUUGAGUGCACCUAAUGCACAGGUGCACUUGGAGAGUUGUCUUAUUUAUGGAUUUAUAGAAGACGAGAGAAGGAUAGAAGAGAUUCAGAAAGAGGGCUCGAGUUGCAGCUACUCUAUUGCAGAAGAGUAGUCGAAUAUAAACUUCUUUUAUUUAAUGAAUCUUAUUCUACCCGCAUAUUUUUUGUGUUUAGUU